rnacentral:rRNA from 1 species
GAUGAACGCUGGCGGCGUGCCUAAUACAUGCCAGUAGAACGCUGAAGGAGGAGCUUGCUCUUCUGGAUGAGUUGCGAACGGGUGAGUAACGCGUAGGUAACCUGCCUGGUAGCGGGGGAUAACUAUUGGAAACGAUAGCUAAUACCGCAUGACAACAGUUAUUGCAUGAUAACUGUUUAAAAGGGGCAACUGCUCCACUACCAGAUGGACCUGCGUUGUAUUAGCUAGUUGGUGAGGUAACGGCUCACCAAGGCGACGAUACAUAGCCGACCUGAGAGGGUGAUCGGCCACACUGGGACUGGGACACGGCCCAGACUCCUACGGGAGGCAGCAGUAGGGAAUCUUCGGCAAUGGACGGAAGUCUGACCGAGCAACGCCGCGUGAGUGAAGAAGGUUUUCGGAUCGUAAAGCUCUGUUGUAAGAGAAGAACGAGUGUGAGAGUGGAAAGUUCACACUGUGACGGUAUCUUACCAGAAAGGGACGGCUAACUACGUG